rnacentral:rRNA from 1 species
AUUGAACGCUGGCGGCAUGCCUUACACAUGCAAGUCGAACGGCAGCACGGGUGCUUGCACCUGGUGGCGAGUGGCGAACGGGUGAGUAAUACAUCGGAACAUGUCCUGUAGUGGGGGAUAGCCCGGCGAAAGCCGGAUUAAUACCGCAUACGAUCUACGGAUGAAAGCGGGGGACCUUCGGGCCUCGCGCUAUAGGGUUGGCCGUUGGCUGAUUAGCGAGUUGGUGGGGUAAAGGCCUACCAAGGGGACGAUCGGUAGCUGGUGGGAGAGGGCGACCAGCCACACUGAGACUGAGACACGACCCAGAGUCCUACGGGAGGCAGCGGUGGGGAAUUUUGGAAAAUGGGCGAAAGCCUGAUCCAGCAAUGGCGCGUGUGUGAAGAAGGCCUUCGGGUUGUAAAGCACUUUUGUCCGGAAGAAAUCCUUGGCCCUAAUACGGUCGGGGGAUGACGGUACCGGAUGAAUAAGCACCGGCUAACUACGUG